CCCCAGAGCUUCUGCCACAGAGGUUGACAGUGCAGUCAGAACUCGGUGGUAUAAAUUCCGUCGUCACUGAUCAAAAGCCUACUGUCCCAAAGAAGAAACUCUGUUGAGAGGCGACAUUCUUGGUUUGUGCCAAGUUUGUAAACUGUCAUCCAAACCGUGGAUUAUUUUAGGCAAAAAUGUCUAUAAAGCCUCUGACUUCGUUUUUUAUCGAAGACAUAUUGUCAAUCAAGGAAAAAUCCCAAUGUAACACCAGGUGUGCUUCAAAUCAGUCUACGGAUGGGUGCGCGCUGUGGAUUGACGCACGGUCUGGCGAGGUUUCAGAUAACUUUAACUUGCAGGACACCGAAUUUGUAGGACGAAAAGAAUGUAGUGACAUACCUUUCGACGACUCCGUAGCAGCGAGAGGUUUUACAUCAUUGGGGAAGCAAAAACGCUCUCGCGCUGCUUUUACGCAUCUGCAAGUUCUUGAAUUGGAAAAGAAAUUCAAUCACCAGAAGUACUUGUCCGCUCCCGAAAGAUCUCACCUGGCCAACACAUUAAGACUAACUGAAACCCAGGUAAAAAUCUGGUUUCAGAACAGAAGAUACAAGACUAAAAGGAAACAAGCUACGGAGUUACAUAAAGACACAAAGAAAACAGAAGGACUUGGUUUAGAGGACGAUUGUGUCAGAGCAUCACUUUUUGACACGUUCUACAAAUCCUACCAAUAUCGACCGUAUUUGUGUGACUUUGGAGGUGUCUGGAGACCCAUGGUUUGGUGAGAAAACCUGAAAACAAUGUGUAGGCCUGUAUAUGGGCUACUAAUUAUGUAACUCCUUUUACAACUGUUGAGAGCAUCAUAUAACGUAUCCACAAAGAUUUUCCAUUUUCCAUAAUGUGUUUGGUCGAUUUUUGUCAUCGUGUGUAGACAGUAGUUUUAAUUAUAAAUAGCAAAACAGAAUGAGACUCUGCAUUCCUGCUGCAUGCCCAAAACAAAUUCGACUGCAAUCGAAUUGAAUAAGAUGUUAAGAGCCUGUUGGAAUCAGAUGUGCUUUUUGUUAAUCAAUUCUAUCACGUGUCUCCGUAUAAAACAUAUUGAGAAUAUUUACAGAAAAUAUUAUUUCAUGUUCAAUGCUUAUUGUAGACUCCUAAUAUAAUAAAAUAAAUAAUGUGAAAAUUCUUGAAUACAAGUUUUGGUAAAAAAAAAAAACAUUUGUCAUAUUGUCUUUAUUUGCUUUGCUGUACGACAACCAUUGCAUGCUGAAGUGAAACU